GUUGCUCUGGGUCAUGGGCCCCGCAUUUCCCGCGUGCGGUGAUCUAACCCGGUUCAGCCCGCGGUGCAGGA
rnacentral:tRNA from 1 species